AAACCAGUAUACUAUUUUUUUUUUCAAUCCCCUAACCUACAUCUAUAUAUAUUUAUAUCUAUACCUCUAAUAAUAAAAAUAACAAAAAUUUUCAACCAUUUUUUCGUCCAUCCAUUUUUUCCGUCCACAUCCUUCUAACUAACUUUUUGUAUCUAUAGCUCUCCUGAUUUAUAUAAUAGGUUCGAGAUAGUUACAAAUCCAAAUACAACUCCGCGAUAUCAAAUAAGCUGAAUAAGAAUCCAAUUUCUAUCUAAUAUCUAUGUCUAUCUAUACCUAAUAUAGUAAUAUUAAGCCUCCAAUCCUAACUAACUUGAAUAUGAAUACAACUCUUCUAAUGUAGAUGAAUAGUAAAAUGGACAAAUUAAAGCGAUUUAAAAUUAUCAUAAUUUUUUUUGUCUAACCUGUUCGCUGAGACCCACGUCUUUUUUUUUCUGUUUUAGCUUUUCCCACGUUUAGUUUCGUGAUUUUUUCCUCUUUUCUUAUUUUUUAUUUAUAAAAAUAAAUAAAUAAAUAAAUAAAUAAAUAAAUAAAUAAUAAAGUAUUGCGUGUCAUCUCUUUCUCAUUUCCUAAUAAAUAGAUAUUUUCGCACUAAUCAAUCUAGAUCAACCGAUGCUACAACUAAUCAAUCUUAAAUAUAAUAUAGUUUGUCAUCCAGUCCAAUAUAUAUCUAUAUAACUAUACUUGUAUACCUCAUAUUAAAUAGCUAAAAUUUUAUUCAUUUUUGUCCACCUCUAACUAUCCAGAUAUAGCAGAGAGUUUCUUCUGCCUAUUUUUUUACUUGAUUUGAACUUAUGACCUAUACCCUUAUACCCAUAUAAGUUAGAACAACUCACAUGGCCUGAUUCCAAUAUGUAAAAGGUGGUGCCCCCCUAUCUCGUACUUGAUCCGGACACAUGACUCCCACUAACAACUCGCAUCUAGC
rnacentral:lncRNA from 1 species